rnacentral:rRNA from 1 species
CCAGACUCCUACGGGAGGCAGCAGUGGGGAAUAUUGCACAAUGGGGGAAACCCUGAUGCAGCGACGCCGCGUGAGUGAAGAAGUAUUUCGGUAUGUAAAGCUCUAUCAGCAGGGAAGAAAAUGACGGUACCUGACUAAGAAGCCCCGGCUAACUACGUGCCAGCAGCCGCGGUAAUACGUAGGGGGCAAGCGUUAUCCGGAUUUACUGGGUGUAAAGGGAGCGUAGACGGCAUGGCAAGUCAGAUGUGAAAGCCCGGGGCUCAACCCCGGGACUGCAUUUGAAACUGUCAGGCUGGAGUGCAGGAGAGGUAAGUGGAAUUCCUAGUGUAGCGGUGAAAUGCGUAGAUAUUAGGAGGAACACCAGUGGCGAAGGCGGCUUGCUGGACAGAGACUGACGUUGAGGCUCGAAAGCGUGGGGAGCAAACAGGAUUAGAUACCCCAGUAAA